AUGUCUGCACCAAUCAUCAGCGCCACCAUGGGGGCGAUGAACCCCCUCAUCGGCAAGCUUGCUGCACUGAUGGGCGACGAGUACAAGAAGCUCACGUCAGUCAGGAAGCAGGCCUCGUUCCUCAAGGAUGAGCUUAGUGCCAUGAAAGCUCUACUUGAGAAGCUUGAGCUCAUGGAUGAACUGGAUCCCUUGGCCAAGAACUGGAGGGAUCAUGUGAGGGAGAUGUCCUACAACAUGGAGAAUUGCAUCGAUGACUUCAUGCGAGACCUUGGAGGUGUCGAUGUCAAAACAAGCUUUAUCAAGAAGACAGUCGAACGUCUCAAGACGUUGCGGAAGCGUCAUCGUACUGCUGAACGGAUGGAGGAACUCAAGGUUCUUGCGUUGUACAAGAUUGAUGAUUGCAUCAAUUCUACUUCUCGCGUCAUUCAUGUUGAUCCUCGCAUGUCGGGAAUCUACAAGGAUGCAAGAGGCCUUGUGGGUAUUGAUGGCCCAAAGAAAGAGCUUGUAAGUUGGUUGACAGAUACCCAGGAGAAACUCAAGGUGGUGGCCAUUGUUGGAUUCGGGGGUCUUGGUAAAACUACACUCGCCAAACAAGUGUAUGAUGAGAUCGGAGGACAGUUCACUUCUAAAGCAUUUGUAUCGGUUUCUCAAAGACCUGAUAUAAUAAGCCUUCUCAGUGGCCUACAAUUGAAGCUUGGGAUGAAGGGGGAGUCAUCUCAGGCUCGUGAGGUGCAAGAUACCAUUGACCUUCUUAGACAACAUCUCGCGCAUGAGAGGUACACAUAUUCUUCUUAA
rnacentral:rRNA from 1 species